rnacentral:lncRNA from 1 species
AAACAUUAAGGUUUGAAAGUUUGCCCAUAUAGUACCAGUUCCGGUGGCGGCAAUUAUCGCCGGUUCAGCCUGUUGUAAAAGUCAUUCAAUGAAUUACUUUCAUGUUUGGGUAUCUAAUGUCGUAUUUUUUUAUUUAAAUUGUGACUAAAUUAACAUAAUAUGUAAAAAUUAAGAAUUAAAUUUAUUAUUAUACUCAAUUUUGGACUGUCACCUCACCCUCCUGUCAAAUAGUUAAUGUCACUAAUCGAAGAUAGACUAAAAAGAAUAAAUCAUGUGAUCAUUUUGAAAGUUUUAAAAAUUGAGUAACCAAAAAAAAUAUUUAUGUAUAGUUUAGUGACCAGCAAUGCAAUUUACCCAAUUAUUUACAAAAGACUAAAAAGACAUUCUACACCUUAAAAUUUUGUUUUACUUUCCUUUUACUAGUUUUCCUCCCCCAAAUUAGAGUAAAUAAAAAUAUUUAAAUUGGGAAAAUAAAGAAAAUAUUUUUAAUUAGUGUAAAAUAAUAUUUGCAAAUUGAAAUGUUGGAUAUAAUUAAAAUAUAUUAACUUGUUUAAUAAUUUAAUCAUUAUAAUAAAAAUUUAAAUAUAAUUAAAGCAUUUUCAUUGUUUAUAAUGUAUAAUGUACAAGCCUAAAUAUGCCCGGGCCCAAACCAAUAAAUAGGCCCAAUUGACAGCCCAAAACCCAAAUUAACCUAGCCCAAACAUUAAAAUUUCAGAAAUCCUAACAGCAUUUGCCCGCAACUGCCGCACAUCCUAACAACAGCCCCGCACAUGUCGCGCACGUUCGCCUCCACGUUGACUGGUCGUACCUGCAGCAAAAAGCAGAAACAAACAGCAAAUUUGCCCGUAGCCGCCGCACAUCCUAACAGCAGCCCCGCACAUGUCGCGCACGUUCGCCUCCACGUUGACUGGUCGUACCUGCAGCAACAAGCAAAAAGAAACAGCAACGAAAUAAUAGGAAUAACAGAAUAGAUUUGGUUUGAUUUUUUUUUCUUUCUUCUUUCCCAUUUUCGGCUAUAAAAGCCCAAUUCCAGGCAUUGUAAAAGAGGGGGGAAAUUCAGUGUAAAAGACAUACGAAAAUAGAGAGAAAAGAUUGAAAUACAAGGAAAAUUGAAGGUUAAUCGCGUUUAUUCUAUUUUCAUUUUUACUUAUUUUUUUUCUUUUCUUUUUAUUUUUUUUGUGAAAUAAUAGUAUAAAAGGGGAAAAGAGAGACUUACCUGGUGGUCGCGUUCUAUUCUCCGUCUCGAUCGGAGGCCAGGACGGCGAUUGAAGCCGUGGGAGGUUCAUGAACGGCGACUCCAAAGGUUUAGAGAAACCUUAAGAGAAGCUGCACUGCUUUAGAGGAAAAACAAAAUUUUUUCCCUAAUUUAUUUUUAACUUAAAAUAGAACAAAGAUGGCGCCGUUUAGUUUGGGGGUCUGCGCAUAUCAACCUUAAAUGGGAGAAUUGCGCAAUAAGUCUUCCCCCUUUGCGCCAUGUUUUAUUAAGCCAAUUAUUUCUUUUUAAUUUGGCCCAAAUGUUUUACCUUGUUUCAAAUCGGUCCCCAUUGCGGCGCAACGUUUUAGGGAGGCGGAUUAUUUCCAUUUGGGCCCCCUCAUAUAAUGUGUGUGUUGAAAAUUGGUCCCUGUUCUAUUUUAAUUUCAUUUUUUGGUUAUUUUGUUUUUUUUCAAUUUGUUUUUUUUUAAAUUGUUAUUUUUAAAAUUAUUACUAUAUUAUCUAUUAUCAUUUAUUACUAUUUCUAUAUUUAUACACGCAUUUUUUAUAUAGUAUAUAUAUACAUAUUUCUUUAUAUAAUAUAUAUAACUUUUAUGAAUGCAUGCAUUUUACAUACGUUUUAUUUUUUAUUUUUUAUCUUUUUUAACCUUUAUAUACUUUAUAUAUAUUAUAUAUAUAUUUAUACAUUUCUUUUAUUUUGUAAAUAUAAACACAUAUACAUACUUUUAUUUUUAUUUUUCUUUAUUUUAUUUUCAUAAUUCUUACAUAUACAUAUAUAUAUUUCUAUAAUAUGUACGUACAUGUUUUUUUUAGCAAUUAUUACAAGUCUUUUGCUUUACAUGUUUCAUUCCUUUUUAUAUGUAUACUAAUAUAUGUGGGUUUAAUAUAUGUGUACACAUAUUUGCAAAUUUACUUGUAAAUUGUACUUGUAUAUAUAUGUUUUGUAAAUAUUUAUUCAUAUAUGUUUUUAGAGUUUUUGUUUCAUAUUAUGCAUUAACUUUUAACAUGCCUUUUAGGAAAUAUAUUUUGGUUUUAUCAGCAUAUCAAAAUCAUUUUCUCUUGAUUCGAAGUUUUUUUUUUGAAUAAAAGCAAUAUUCAAAGUUUGAGAUUUUCGAGGUCUCGAAAAUUGAGCCCUAACGUAUUGGGUUUCGAUUUUCUUUGUUAAUUUAAAAUAACUGAGAAUAUUCUUUAUUCAAAAUGCAUGAGAAUAAAAAUCAUUUUCAGGAACUUAACUUGUUGUGUCCUAAUGUAUUGGGUGUGACAUGUCACUUUCUCAAAAUGAAGAUUUUCGCUUAAAAUAAAAGUGGUAUUCAAAGUUUGGGAAUUUUAAGAAAUUGUACCCUAAUGUAUUGGGACUCGAUUUCUUUACAUGACUUGAACAAUUGAUUAUCCUUUUCAGAUUUCAUCAUUUGAGUUGUUUUUAAAAAACCUUUUUUAGCCCUCGACACUAAGACAUUAAAUAAUCAAUUUGGUACCGAUUUUGGGCGUUACGAGGGUGCUAACCCUUCCUUAUGCGUAACUGACUCCCGAACCCGUUUUCUCAAAUUUCAUUGACCAAGACACGUUUUAAAGUGAGCUGAUCACACCUCAAUAAAGGAUCGGUGGCAACUCCAGUUUUAUCUUUAAAGUCGACAACUAAAUUUUUGUUUUCAAAAAGAUGGUUUCGACAGCUUGGCGACUCCGCUGGAGACACUAGAGAGUCGAACCGUGAAUUGGUUAUGUUUUGUCUUUUUUUCGAAAAUCAAAAGUUUUUUAAAAAUCAUGAUUUCCCUGUGCAUUCAUUUUCAUCAUGAUAUGUUUGCAUGAUUGGACCAAGUUGGUUGAUCUGUAUUUGCAUUUUGCAUUGCAUGGUCAGUUUUACCCCUUUAAGUGGGAGCGAGAAACUAGUCCUUCGUGAGGUUUUCACCUCCGUGCAGGGUAGUGGACCGCUUUCGGGAUAUAUUCAUACCUAUGUCUUCGUGAGAUUUUCAUCUCCGUGCAGCCAUAGGGAAAUGUAUUCCCCUGAACUGAACUCGAUCCAUAUGAGCCUAUAAUGGGUAAGGAUUGAGGAAUCUGCUGGUUCGAGUACCUUUGCUCUAGAAGCCAAACCUCAUAUAGUGAACCUUAGGAACUCACCCUAGGUAGAACUACAUUGAACCCCAGUAGAUAACCGAAUAUGUGUUUUAUUAUUUCCAAUUAUAUUGGAUUCUAUUUUUAUACAUGUACUAACUUGUUAUGUUUUGUUUUGGCUACAUGACAUUUUGACCGCAUUGCAUUUCAUCAUAGAAAAGAGGUGUUGAUUCACGUUCGGUUGCUCAAUAGAGAGCUUGUCAUAGAAAAUGGAUUUCUUGAUAAAGUGGAAAAUAAUAGGUUCUCCGAAUAUAGUCUAAGAAAGCGUGAUACGAGAAGUGUAACAAGAGGAGUAUACGACUUUGCUGCGUUGAUUCAAGAUUAGCAAAUAUUAUUCAAGAGUCGUCAAACAUCCCAACCUUUUUAAAGAAGAUAAUGAACGUGAGUGAGCAAGGAGUUACGACCUAGAUCAAACAAAAAGGAGAUCAAAUUCGCGAGAUGCAUCUUAAUAUCUGAAUGGUUGAUGUCUUUUCUUGGAGUACGAGGGCGAAGCCAUAUAUAUAUCCGCUUUGUGUAAAGAGAUUUGUUUUCUAGAGAAGUUUUUCUAGUAAAGAAUUGGACCAGAAUCAACGUCUCUUUUGCAUUCAUUUCACGCAUUUGCAUUACAUUACAUCAUAUGCAUUAAACACCGUUAAAGGAUCCUAAUUAACUAAAAUCAUUGCUCAGUUAACCUGGAAACCGACCAACCAACUAAACACCGUUACGACACUCGAGCAAAGAUUAAAGACAUGGAUCAGAGAUUGGAAAAGCUCGAACAGUACCAGAAAGAAAUGCAAGACCAACUCCAGUUACAAGUGCAGGAGCGGUUAGACAAGAUGCAACGGGAUAUGUCAGAGAAGAUGCAGGAAUCCCAAAAUAAUAUGAUGACAAAGUUGACCCAACUGUUGACUGGAGGGGGUGAUAAAGGAAAGGGUCCCAUGGCUGAUAUCGAAGAGGGUAACGAGGAUGAAUCACUCUAUCCUCCAGGCUUUACUCCCCCAUAUGUGCGAACUCAAGCUGAAUAUCCGCACAAAUCUACUGUCAUAAUCAGGCCUUAGCAGUACCAAGCCGGUGCUUCAAACUUUCAGACUGGAUCGGGCUCUAACCCCUAAAACCACCAUGCUAAUUUCGCCAUUCUUGACUUUGAUGAAGUGGCUGAAAAAGAAAGAAUAAAGGAAGAGUUACCAAAGCAGUUAGAAGAAAGGUGCAAAUGGCUCGAUAAGAAAUUCAAGGCGAUGGAAGUCACUGAAAGCUAUCGUGAGAUUGAUGCUAAAGAGCUGAGUUUACUUCCGGAUUUGGUACUCUCUCAUAAGUUUAAGAUGCCAGAAUUCGAAAAGUACAAUGAGACAAGUUGCCCAGAAGCACAUAUCACCAUGUUCUACAGGAGAAUGGCUGGAUAUGUUAACAAUGACCAACUAUUGAUUCAUUGUUUCCAGGAUAGCCUCACAGGGCCAGCAUCUAAAUGGUAUAAUCAACUGAGCCGUAGCGUGAUUGGUUCAUGGAGGGAUUUAGCACAAGCAUAUAUGAAGUAGUACAGUCAUGUAACAGACAUGGUUCCUGACAGAAUCACCCUUCAGAAUAUGGAAAAGAAGCCGAACGAGAGCUUUAGGCAAUAUGCACAAAGGUGGAGGGAGGUGGCCGUUCAAGUUCAAUCGCCGCUAUUGGAAAGAGAAACAACAAUACUCUUUAUCAAUACGCUAAAAGCCCCAUUCAUUACGCAUAUGUUAGGAAGUGCUACAAAGAGCUUUUCUGACAUAGUUAUGAAUGGUGAAAUGAUCGAAAAUGUUAUAAGGAACGGGAAAAUUGAUGUAGAGGAGAGUAACAAGAGGUCAGUCUCAAGGAGAAGAGAAAAUGAGGUGAACAACACGGGUUACUCUAAAUCAGUUACUUUGAGUCAGCCAAGAAAGGUGGCUGCUAACCAACAAGGUUCAUCAAGGCAGGAAGCUGGUACAAGACAAAACACUGAGAGGCCCCAAUUCACGCCAAUUUCGGUGUCAUAUAGGGAGCUAUAUCAAAGUUUUUUUGAUGCACACGUUGUUUCCCCUUUUUAUGUGAAGCCUCUACAACCUCCGUACCCCGAAUGGUAUGAUGCGAACGCACAAUGUGACUAAUAUGCGGGAAUUACGGGACACUUGAUUGAGAAUUGCACUGCCUUCAAGAAACUAGUUGAAAGACUUAUCGACAUAGGUGUUGUCAAGUUUGGUGACUCAUCAAGUGCAGAAAAUCUGUUACCCAAUCAUGAUUGAUGAUGGAGGGAAUGCAAUAUAAGUGGUGAGAAAUUUGCACAUCGAUGUCAUAUACGCAGAUACAAUUAAAAGGGUCCUUGUUAGAUAUUCGCCUGAGAGGUGUUAUAAAUAAUAGACUGCAGAGAAAACCCCUAUAUUAUUUAGAGUCUGAUAAAGUAAUGUUCAGAACACACUUGUUGCUUUUAGCCUAGAAGCAAUAAGAACUUCUUUGUGAAAUAGGCUCAUGUCUGAACAUUAUUAUUUUAAUGAAAUACAUCAUUGCAAUCAUCUUCGAGCAAAUGUUCUUUCAUUCUUUACGAUUCUUUCAUUCUUUUAGAUUUUUUCUGCCAAAUCAUUCUUUCAUUCAUAAUCAUAUUAUCUAUAAAUUCAUAAAUUCUUUGUAUAUUCCUUAGCACCUACAAUAGGUCCCUGGAUAUCAAUGACAUGAGUGACGCUGCUACAGACUCAUAAUCUCCUCUUGAGUGAAACAUGUGUUUAGAGGGAUCUCAUGACUUUGAAGAUGACAUAGAUUGUAGCUUAUCUCCUAACUUGUUGAGGAUGGUAGAGCAAUAAGAAAACAAAUUUACCUCAUGAGGAGACAAUGGAGACUGUGACCUUGAAGAAACAUGCAUGACCGAAGAAACAAAGCAAGACGCUGUUGAGUUACUUCAAGAAUUCAAAAAUGUCUUCGCAUGGUCAUACCAGGAUAUGCCCGGGUUAAGCACUGUCGUUGCAAUCUGAACAAUAGUACGAUAUCAGAAAUUUACAGUAUGCUCAAGAUUAAUAUAAUGAAUGAUGCAAUGAAAACUCUACUAGAGUAGUGCCUCUCUCUUUAGUUUAUCACGAUUUUUUCUAUUGAAGUCAAAGUUCUUUUUCUCCGAGUAUUGCUGAGCAAGUUGGAUGAAGUAGAACGGAUUCAAUCGUGAUGUGAUCAAUUGAACUUGAUAGAAGAAAAAAAACUAAAAGCUAUUCAUCACGGUCAGAUGUACCAGAAAUGAAUGAUGCGAGCCUAUAACAAAAGGUUCAUCCCAGAGAAUUCCACGAGGGUGACCAAAUGUUGAACAUCUUCCCUCUACAAAAAAAAUGUUUUGGAGGGAAGCGGAUGCCAAAUUUCGAAGAAUCUUAUGUUACAGAGACGGUUUUUCCAAAGGAGCUUUGAUUUUGAGCGAGAUGGAUGAUAAGUCCUGUAAACUCAGAUUCAGUCAAGAAAUACUCCGCUUAAAGAAGGAGAUGACUGAGGUAGAAAACCCGCAAAGGGGCACUUUGAGUCGUAAAAAUAAUGAAAUGAAAAGUGAAAAUGAAAAAUGAAAAAUGGAAAAAGAAAAGAAAAGGAGAGGCCAAAGCGAAAACCCGCAAAGGGCGCUUUAGACCAAAGGGGAUUUGAGUUGAAAACUCGAAAAGGGCGGCUCAAAUAUUGAUCAAAAUGGGGCAUGAGGUAAUCAGAGCAGCCCAAAUACCAUUCAGAGUGGGGCAUACAAUGGUCUUGCUAUACUUGAAUCAACAGGAAAGGGUAGGCGACAUCUUGGGGCAUCGACAAAGUAUUACAGAUCUCCUAAACACAUGUUAAACUCAGAAUGGUCUUCAGAAAGUCUGUACAGAGAAGUUCAAGUUGCGAUAUCUGGGGCACCUAAUCCUUAUACCAUUUUUGUUAUUCUUGAAACACUUCAUUCAUUGCCAAGAUACGCAUUCCUAAAUCAAUUUCUUUGUUAUCCAUCUUUAUUAUCUUUGAUAAUCUAUUCAUUUCAGAGCCAUGCUCUAAAUCAAUUCUAUUCCUACCCAUUGUUAUGAUCUCUUGCAAGCAUGUUGCAUUAGAAUAAUGAUGAAUGGACUAAUAAAACUUUCACAAAGGAAGUUUUGCAUAUUACUCUAGAAGUUUCUAAAUAAUAUAAGAACCUCAAAUAGGACUACUAUUUAGAACUCACCAGGUUAAAGGUUGGAAAUCUAAUAAGGAAGAGUCUAAAUUAAGACUAUCCCUUUGAAUUUUGUUGUCUAAAUUAUUGAUUGAAAAACGACAAGAUGUCGUGUUGGUGACAAAGCUUAAAUGAACAAGUAAGUAAUGAUCACCAAAUAAUAAUAAGAAGUUGUUCUUGGAGAAGAAUAUUCUUCAUUUGUGCAUGAGCAUUUGGUAUGACUCCCUAGAAAUGGUGAAAAUGACAAAAAAGCUUCACAUUCUACAUCCUUGAAUUUUGAUAGUGGAAGAUUGAGAAAAUGCCAGAUUUUUUUUUACUCUUGAGUUACCACGAGAGAAAGAUGAUACAGAUUUUGCGUUCCAGUGGAUUAAACUUUGAAGUUCACAGUGGGGGGCAAUUUGAUUAAGUGUUUUUCAGAGAUACUAGCUGAGCAAGAAGGUGUUAUAGCACAUUAGUGAGGAAACCUUAAUAAAAUUUGAGUAAUAAUAACUCAAGCAUUAAAAUAUUAUUUUCAUGACAUUUUGCAUUCAUUUAAAUGUCAUUCAUACACGUCUAGUUAGAAGUAUUUGAUUCAUUCUAAUCAUGACAUCCUUAAUCUCUAAGCAUAAUUAGGUUCAUCAUACAGGUCAUGUUUCACAGAAAACAGAUCAGUAAAAUCAUAAAGCCUUAUCCCCCUGAGCAACAGUGGAGCUGGCUAAAAAGCAGCAGAUCUUGUCUUCAUGUAUUGGCGUGAAGUAGAUCAAAGAUAGCAGAUCUUGUCUUCCCAUACUGGUGGUGAAGUAGAUCGAAGAUAAUGGAUCUUGGCUUCAUAUAUUAACAUGAAGUAGAUCAGAGAUAGUAGAUCUUGUCUUCAUGUAUUGACAUGGAGUAGAUCAGAGAUAGUAGAUCUUAUCUUCAUGUAUUGACAUGAAGUAGAUCGAAGAUGAUGGAUAUUGUCUUCAUGUAUUGACAUGGAGUAGAUCAGAGAUAGCAGGUAUUGCCUUCAUGUAUUGACAUGAAGUAGAUCAGAGAUAACAUAUCUUAUUUUCAUGUAUUGACAUGAAGUAGAUCGAAGGUAAUGGAUCUUGUCUUCAUGUAUUGACAUGAAGUAGAUCAGAGAUAGCAGAUCUUGUCUUCCCAUACUGGUAGUGAAGUAGAUCGAAGGUAAUGGAUCUUGUCUUCAUGUAUUGACAUAGAGUAGAUCAGAGAUAGCAGAUCUUGUCUUCAUGUAUUGACAUGAAGUAGAUCAGAGAUAGGAUAUCUUAUCUUCAUGUAUUGACAUGAAGUAGAUCGAAGAUAAUGGAUCUUGUCUUCAUGUAUUGACAUGAAGUAGAUCAGAGAUAGCAGAUCUUGUCUUCAUGUACUAGCGUGAAGUAGAUCGAAGAAAGCAGAUCUUGUCUUCAUGUACUGGCAUGAAGUAGAUCAAAGAAAACAGAUAUUGUCUUCAUGUACUGACGUGAAGUAGAUCGAAGAAAGCAAAUCUUGUCUUCCUGUACUAGCAGUGAAGUAUAUCAAAGAUAACAGAUCUUGUCUUCCCAUACUGGUAGCGAAGUAGAUCGAAGAAAGCAGAUCUUGUCUUCAUGUAUUGGCGUGAAGUAGAUCGAAGAUAGUAGAUCUUGUCUUCCCAUACUGGUGGCGAAGUAGAUCGAAGAUACCAGUCUUAUCUCCCUGAAGUUGCAGUGGAGCAGAUAGAAGAAACCAAUCCUAUCUCCUUGAAGUUGCAAUGGAGUAGAUUAAAACCACAGAUUUCAUCUCUUUGGAGUUGUAGCAGAGCAGAUCGCAUCAGAUUUAUUUUUAAGUUGUAGCAGAACAAGUUGAAGCUAUAAGUCUUAUCUCCCUGAAGUUGCAGUGGAGCAGAUUAAAGAUAGCAAAUUUUGAAGCUACAGCAUACGAAUCUUAUCUCCCUGACAUUCCAGUGGAGUAGAUUGAAACGCUAGUUCCUAUACCUCUGAAGAUGCAGUAGGAAGGAAUGAGGCUACUAGAAGAAAGGCACUGAAGAAGUUGAGGCUCGGUAAGACCAGACACAAUUGAGCUUUUGGUUUUUGCUCUAUUCCCGUUACACAACAAUGAGCAAAGAGGGGCAGCUGCACAAGCCCAAAUAUGCCUGGGCCCAAACCAAUAAACAGACCCAAUUAAUAGCCCAAAACCCAAAUUAACCUAGCCCAAACAUUAAAAUUUCAGAAACCCUAACAGCAUUUGCUCGCAGCCGCUGCACAUCCUAACAACAGCCCCGCACAUGUCGCGC